GCACCUCGAGAGACAAGAGCAAAUGGUUGACAGCAGGAACACCAGCUUUCUGCAGGCUAGAAAAGGCGUUGACUAAUAAGAGAAUUCUGAAAGAUGUGGAAAAGCUCAGCCCUCACUAUCAGACCUCAUCGCUGGAGGCAUUUCACAGCGUCAUUCUGCGGUUUGCACCCAAGAAUGUUGUCUUCCCCUACCUUGGAAUGUUAUGCAGACUCUACCUGGCUGCCCUGCAUUACAAUGAAAAUACUGGCCGACCACAGGCAACAUCUACAAGUGGAGAGCUGCUGUACAGAGUCAACUUCCCCAAAUCUAAACAUGGAGAAUGCAC